UGGGGAAUAUUGGACAAUGGGCGAAAGCCUGAUCCAGCCAUGCCGCGUGUGUGAAGAAGGUCUUCGGAUUGUAAAGCACUUUAAGUUGGGAGGAAGGGCAGUAAAUUAAUACUUUGCUGUUUUGACGUUACCGACAGAAUAAGCACCGGCUAACUCUGUGCCAGCAGCCGCGGUAAUACAGAGGGUGCAAGCGUUAAUCGGAAUUACUGGGCGUAAAGCGCGCGUAGGUGGUUUGUUAAGUUGAAUGUGAAAGCCCCGGGCUCAACCUGGGAACUGCAUCCAAAACUGGCAAGCUAGAGUACGGUAGAGGGUGGUGGAAUUUCCUGUGUAGCGGUGAAAUGCGUAGAUAUAGGAAGGAACACCAGUGGCGAAGGCGACCACCUGGACUGAUACUGACACUGAGGUGCGAAAGCGUGGGGAGCAAACA
rnacentral:rRNA from 1 species